AUUUCACGCUGCUGAAAAAAGUUUCGUAGGAAGAAAAUAUUGCCCGUACCGCAAACCGACACAGGUACUCAAGUGGAGAACACUAAGGUGAGCGAGUGAACUAUUGUUAAGGAACUCUGCAAAAUGAGUCCGUAACUUCGGAAGAAGGACUGCUGGUUUUAUACCAGCCGCAGCAAAUAGGCCCAAACAACUGUUUAUCAAAAACACAGGUUUCUGCAAAAUCGUAAGAUGAAGUAUAGGGGCUGACGCCUGCCCAGUGCUGGAAGGUUAAAAGGAGGACUUAGCUUCGGCGAAGGUCUUAAUUGAAGCCCCAGUGAACGGCGGCCGUAACUAUAACGGUCCUAAGGUAGCGAAAUUCCUUGUCGGGUAAGUUCCGACCCGCAUGAAAGGCGUAAUGAUUUGGGCGCUGUCUCAACAAUAGACUCGGUGAAAUUUAAAUUCCAGUGAAGAUGCUGGGUACCCGCGACAGGACGGAAAGACCCCGUGGAGCUUUACUGUAGCUUGAUAUUGAAUGUUUGUGCUGCAUGUGCAGGAUAGGUAGGAGACUUUGAAGUCGGAACGCUAGUUUCGAUUGAGUCACCCUUGAGAUACUACCUCUGUUGUAUGAACGUUCUAACUCUGAUCAGUUAUCCUGAUCGAAGACAGUGUCUGGCAGGCAGUUUGACUGGGGCGGUCGCCUCCUAAAAGAUAACGGAGGCGCUCAAAGGUUUGCUCAGAAUGGUUGGAAAUCAUUCGUAGCGUGUAAAGGCAUAAGCAAGCUUGACUGUGAGACUGACAAGUCGAGCAGGUACGAAAGUAGGACUUAGUGAUCCGGUGGUUCCGUAUGGAAGGGCCAUCGCUCAACGGACAAAAGCUACCCCGGGGAUAACAGGCUCAUCUCCCCCAAGAGUCCACAUCGACGGGGAGGUUUGGCACCUCGAUGUCGGCUCAUCGCAUCCUGGGGCUGUAGUCGGUCCCAAGGGUUGGGCUGUUCGCCCAUUAAAGCGGUACGCGAGCUGGGUUCAGAAC
rnacentral:rRNA from 1 species